AGCGGACGGCACUUCGGAAUGAAUUGCCGACGCUCACAAGACGCGAUAUUUUCUUACCGUUGUUGUCGCUGUUCGCAAUAAUUAUUAUAAUCGCGAUAUG
rnacentral:lncRNA from 1 species